CCGGGGAGCCCCCGGCAGCGCGGACCCGGGAAUCCGAGGAGCCGGGGGCCGAGGAAGCCGGGGACCCUCGGAGCCGGGACCCCGUGGAUCAGGCUGGGCCCCUGCCCGGAGCCGUCGGCAAGCAAGAAACUGAGGCUCCCGGGGGGCCCCCCCGCCCCGCGGAGCGGCGGCCCCCCGGUUACCGGUCAUCGUGCAGGAGACGCCGCGGAGUCGGUGGACCUGCCGGGGACGCGGGGGAUGAACAGGAGCCGCCGCCGCCGUCGCCGCCGCCGGGACUCAGCCUUGGGCCCGGCUCCUGAGCUGGGGGAGAAGACCAGGCAACGUUUUUAAGUUUCCCGAAGCUCUCGGCCGCCCUGUUCCCGCUGCAGCAGGAGAGACAUCGAAUUCAUGUUUUAUACCUUCGGGUAUAGGUUUGAGUUUUUCUCCCUUCAUGCCAAGUAUUUAAAACCUCUAGAAACCCAUGAUUUGACAAUCAAUGAUUGCGCGAUACUUUCAAUUUGAAUAUUCAAAGGCUUAACAAAAUGGACUAUCUUCUGCAGAAACCUUGCUGCUGGGCACCUCACAGAGGGUCCCCGGGAGCAGGGGGCGAGGCGGCCGCUGCCCCCCGACCCCGCUUCGGCCUCGUAUCGAGCCUUUUGCCAGGCACCCCCCCGAACGCGGCCGUGGUCUCCGAAGAUGCUCCGUAUUUUCGCCCGCGAGGUCCUCCUCGGGCCCGGAGCGCCGCGGGCCGCCCCUCCGCACCUCCCCGAGCCGGGGACCGAGGCCGCAGGGCCCCCUAAACCCUCGGCCCCCCGGCGGGGGCUGAUCCCGGGCCGCGGUGGGUCGGGAGGCAGGGCGGCAGGCCGCCUGGAGCCCCGGGGGGCGUCAGCCGGGCCCGACUGAGCGGCCCAGGCCCAGAGCGGCCUUCGCCUGCCUCCGGCCCGUCCGGCCCACGUGCCAGUGGCCCUCCUCCGGCCAUCCCGCCCCCUGCCGGUCCUCCCCACGUUGCUUGCUUUUUCGGCCUAGGCUGCCUGCCCAGGGAGACCAGUCUCCUCCUCUCGAGGGGUUGGGGGUAGGCUCAUCUGCGGUUCACUGGCGGUAAGAGCUUCAGUGCCGGGAACGCUGCUUCUCUGGACCCUGCGAUUCUGGCCAACAGCCCCUCCUGCCCGACCCAGGGUCUCCUUUCAGCUGGGCGUAGUGGGGUCUGGCCCCUAUCACUCCCGAAGGCUCUGUUCCCACCAUCCCUGCUCAGGACUGGACCAGGGCAGGCCGGGGUGGACGGAGCUGGUCCCGGCAGAAGUGAGUGGGCCGCGCCGGACCCCAGCUACCCGUCUGGCCGGCUCUGGUCCUGGCCCGGACGCAGGGAGGCCUCCACUGCGAUGGAGAAGCGAAACCGGGUGGUGGGGGUGGACCCAGGCUCUUCCCACCGUGGGGUGGGCCGCUCCUCUUCAUCUGGAGUGUGUUGGGCCCUCCCUGUGCUGGGGUUACGUUUCCCUUGAGCCUGAGGGAGGAAUGUGGCUGGUGGGGGUCUGGCAGGGUUUUGCCCCUCCCCCCCCCAACCCCAACCCCUGAGGUGGGCUAGGGCCAUCGUCAUCGAUCCUGGAUCGGACAGAGGCGGGGGAUCGGCCGCGAGUGGAGGGUUCCCGUGACUCCCUCAUCCCGAGCACUCCUCCCGCUUCCCUGACAGAUGCCUGGCCCAUGGGCAGAAAAGGCCCCAAGCCAAGAGUCACAUGGCAUCUUCUUUGGCCCAGGAUUGGCCGUUCCCCUGUGGUGGAAGUCCAAGCCCAAUGGGAGGGUGGAGUUGCCCUUGCUUGACACAUGACCCCUGCGUCAAGAGCCAUGUUGGGCGCAAUAGCUCGAAACUAUUAGCGUCACCCCCAGACGGGUUCCGGGCUCCAAGGAAAAUGCCAGAGAGGCCGUGGCUUGAGGUUCAGCGUGGCCCGUCCAGAGUUUUUCCCUGCAUUUCAGCCAUUUCCCGGCAUCCCAGACCCCGGUGCCCGGAGAGGAGAAGGCGCAGCCGGAGAGUCCGUCUGCCCAGCUGUGGCCGGGACUGCUCGUGGGCCCAGCCUUGCCCGGAGGCCCAGGCGGUGCUGGAGUGCGGGCCGGUCCUUGCCGGCCUGUCCAGCCUUGGGGAGAGGUGACGGGCUGACAUCGGGGGCUGCCGCCCAAAGGGGGCUGCUGAGAGGACCCUGGGGGCAGGGGGGAGAUUUUUCAGUCCUUGGAGAGGCAAGCCAUGUGUGGCAAUGGAGAGAAGAUUCCUGCUGGAAAAGGAACCACCGCUUCAUAUCGAAAAUACUUCUUAAGCUCCUGCCGUGUGUCAAGCCCACAAGUAGCUGCUCUGGCCCUAGGAACCAAUGGAAGCAUGGAACCAUCCCUUGCCGGUGGCAGCGCCGACGCCCAGCUUUCAGCAGAGGGUUUGGAUACCUUUGUGCGAUUGGCAUUGGGGAGGCAUUUUUUUCCUAAGCCUCUUGUUCUCCCCGGGCCAUCUGCCCUGAGUAACGCCCUGCCUCCCGUGCGCUCGUCGUUCUGGGCUGCUUUCAGCCCAAAGGUGACCACUGCGUCCAGCAGCUCCUCCGGGCUCCACGCGGCGCAGACCCCGCCUCCUCCCGGCCUGCCCGACUCCUGCCCUCAGAGAUCUAGAGGGAGUCGCGACGUCACCCGUGUGGUCGCUCUGCCAGGUGAGGCGUGAAAGCCCGAGUAGUUGGUUGUGGGAAGGGAGCGGAGCCAAGAGUCUGGGUUUCUCCUCUUGUCGGGGAGCAGGAGUUGCGGCGCGAUUGAUUGAUCGACUGAUCGACUCCUGAGAGCAAGUAAGUGACCGACCUGCUUCGGCUGCCUCUCCCUCUGACGGUGGGCGCCUUUGGGAGGCGACCUGACUUUCUUUUUGUUGGCCAGCCUGGGGAGAGGGGCCUGAGCGGGGAACGAGGGGAUCAGGGUGGAGAGCAGUCAGUCACUCGUAUUUAAUGAGUGCUUACUGUGUGCAGAGCAUCCUACUGAAUGCCUGGGAGAGUACAGUA